GGCGAGGGCAGGGAGACACCCGGGGCAGCGGCGCGCCACGCCCCAGCCGCACUGUAGGCGGCGGUUCUGAUUAACACGGGACUUGACGGAGGAGCCUUGCCUUCCUUGGGUAGACUCCGGAGGAGCGGGUCUCCGCAGGGGCCGCCAUGAUCCCUUACGAAGAAGCCUUCGCAGGCGCCAGGACGGGUGCCGUCCCCCCGCUGGCCACGGCGCGGGGCUCCCUCAGGGUUGCCCCCUUGAAAUGGCUCCGGCGGCAGGAAGGGCGCGCGGAACUACAAUGCACGGCCCCGGGAAGGAGGGGGCGCCUGCGGGUAAGGGGUUCCGGCCGGGGCACGUCCUCCCCACACCCCCCGGCGCGUGCGCAGUGCGACCUAUAUUGGUUGGUCCGGUCUGAUUGGCACCGUCCCAGGUAUACCCAUUUAACAUGGAUGAAGUUAAGAAAGAAGAGCAAAGGAAUAAAGAUGAAACAAGAGAGCUGAGGAAACGCACAUGCAACUAAUUUUGUUAAUUAGGAAGACAGAGAAAAGACCUCAUUUUAUGUUUUUGUGUCACCGCAGAAGGGUGCAAACCUACAACUGAUGUUACAUGUUGACUGGGGCAAAGGUUGACAACGGGAAGUACAUGACUACUCCCCCAAAAGGUCAUGACCCAUCUGUGGAUCAUGAAAUCAAUUUGUAUUUUAUUCUCCUACUCUUCUGAUGGGAACCAGUAACAUCUAAGGACCAGGAAUCCUGAGAUGAAGGAAUUUGGAUUGCAGGGAAGUUUCAUCAAGUAUGUUCCAUAGGAAGACAUAGGACUACAAAGCAGGCUGUAAGUCUAUGGUCUGAAAGUAAUUGGCUUUGCACUGUAAUAAACUGACUGCAAGACGCAAAGUAAGCUUGAUGGGAACUGUUUAGUGAAAGUAUGGGAUUGUAAGGAUAGAAACAAAUAAAAGAACAGAGCCAAAUAAGAUUACAGAUUAUAUAUAAUUGUUUGUAUUGAAAUAAAUUUGUGUUAUGGUUAUGUUAAUAAAGCAGUAUAUAGAAAUCUAUGCAUUCUAUAAUUGGAAUCUCUCUGAAUGUGAGAAAGAUAAUAAGGAAGUAAUUUGGUACAAUAAACUAACACUAUGCAAAAUUUGUUUCCUCAAAAGUCUUUGUUGAGUUUGAGACAAUGGAAUUUCCUUAACAGUAGACACAGAUUUUCACUGAGCACUCAGGGUAAAGACAACAUACCAAACUCAGGAUUCUGAGUUACAAAGGCUUACUACUUGCUAGUUCAUUUAGUCUGGGAUGGGAAUGGUA